UGGGGGUGAAAGGCCAAUCAAACCGGGAGAUAGCUGGUUCUCCCCGAAAGCUAUUUAGGUAGCGCCUCGUGAAUUCAUCUCCGGGGGUAGAGCACUGUUUCGGCAAGGGGGUCAUCCCGACUUACCAACCCGAUGCAAACUGCGAAUACCGGAGAAUGUUAUCACGGGAGACACACGGCGGGUGCUAACGUCCGUCGUGAAGAGGGAAACAACCCAGACCGCCAGCUAAGGUCCCAAAGUCAUGGUUAAGUGGGAAACGAUGUGGGAAGGCCCAGACAGCCAGGAUGUUGGCUUAGAAGCAGCCAUCAUUUAAAGAAAGCGUAAUAGCUCACUGGUCGAGUCGGCCUGCGCGGAAGAUGUAACGGGGCUAAACCAUGCACCGAAGCUGCGGCAGCGACGCUUAUGCGUUGUUGGGUAGGGGAGCGUUCUGUAAGCCUGCGAAGGUGUGCUGUGAGGCAUGCUGGAGGUAUCAGAAGUGCGAAUGCUGACAUAAGUAACGAUAAAGCGGGUGAAAAGCCCGCUCGCCGGAAGACCAAGGGUUCCUGUCCAACGUUAAUCGGGGCAGGGUGAGUCGACCCCUAAGGCGAGGCCGAAAGGCGUAGUCGAUGGGAAACAGGUUAAUAUUCCUGUACUUGGUGUUACUGCGAAGGGGGGACGGAGAAGGCUAUGUUGGCCGGGCGACGGUUGUCCCGGUUUAAGCGUGUAGGCUGGUUUUCCAGGCAAAUCCGGAAAAUCAAGGCUGAGGCGUGAUGACGAGGCACUACGGUGCUGAAGCAACAAAUGCCCUGCUUCCAGGAAAAGCCUCUAAGCAUCAGGUAACAUCAAAUCGUACCCCAAACCGACACAGGUGGUCAGGUAGAGAAUACCAAGGCGCUUGAGAGAACUCGGGUGAAGGAACUAGGCAAAAUGGUGCCGUAACUUCGGGAGAA
rnacentral:rRNA from 1 species